ensembl:snRNA U6 U6 spliceosomal RNA
GUGCUUGCUUCCACAGCACAUAUACUAAAAUUGGAACAAUACGCAGAAGAUUAGUAUGGCCCCUGUGCAGGAUGACAUGCAAAUUUGUGAAGCGUCCCAUAUUUUU